AAGUUACGCCGCGUCGCCAUCUUGCGCUCUCACUAAUUUUAGCUCGCAUGCGGUAGAUAGAUGGAAAAUUUUAUUCUCACGCAACAAAUUGUACGUAUAACGCAAUUGUGGUAAACAUUUACUGAUCGUUGAGCCUUCCGUCAUGUAUUCGUCGAACCAAGAUCAUCGUUCGGCCUACAGAUCACAGGAUGGAAAAAAUGAGCCAGAACACGUGAGGAAGUUAUUUAUCGGCGGUCUUGACUAUAGGACUACCGAUGACUCCCUCAAAAAACACUUUGAACAGUGGGGUGAAAUUGUCGAUGUAGUUGUCAUGAAAGAUCCAAAAACCAAGCGUUCUCGUGGAUUCGGAUUCAUUACCUACUCACGCGCACACAUGGUUGAUGAUGCGCAAAAUGCCAGACCACACCGAGUGGAUGGACGUGUUGUGGAGCCAAAGCGUGCUGUUCCACGACAGGAAAUUGGCCGGCCGGAAGCUGGUGCCACGGUGAAGAAAUUGUUCGUAGGUGGACUGAAAGAUGACCACGAAGAAGAAGAUCUCCGACUGUACUUUCAAUCUUUUGGUAGCAUCAACUCCGUCAGUAUUGUUACCGAUAAGGAAACUGGGAAGAAGCGAGGUUUCGGAUUUGUUGAAUUUGAUGAUUAUGAUCCCGUCGAUAAGAUCUGCUUACAACGUAAUCAUCAAAUUUGCAACAAGCACGUUGAUGUCAAAAAGGCUUUGAGCAAAGCUGAGAUGGCUUCUGCAACUGGUGGAGGUGGUGGAGGCGGCGGUAGAGGUGGCCAAGGUGGUGGACGAGGUCCGCGAGGUAGCAAUCAAGGUGGCGGCAACUGGGGAGGUCGCGGAGGUGGCGGCAGUGGCGAUUGGAAUAACGGUGGUAAUCAAGGUGGUUACGGAGGUGGCAAUCAAGGUGGUUGGGGUGGCAACGGACCCUGGGAGAACCAGAACCAAGACUCAGGUGGUGGCUGGGGUGGACAGGGUGGCCAGGGUGGCUACAAUAGUGGUGGAAACUGGAGCAACGACAACUUUGGAGGUGGCUACCAGCAAGGCUAUGGAGGUGGACCUGUGCGAAAUAACUUCAAUGCUGGCGGCAGGCCCGCUCCAUAUGCAGGAGGACCCAUGGGAGGCGGCAAUACCGGAGGUGGUGGAGGAGGCGGCGGUAGUGGAGGCGGAGGUGGCUACGGUGGUGGUGGAAACCAAGGCGGGUAUGGAGGAAAUCCAGUUGGAGGUGGAAACAUGGGUGGAGGAGGUGGCGGCGGCGGAGGUGGUGGUGGCGGCAGAAGAUACUAAGUCCACUGGCAUAGCCCGUCGCAACGCUACGCUCCCUCAAAUGGUGACCCCUUGUCUACCACUUGUCUACUAGUCGCCAGUACUUCUGUACUGUUUAGUUCGGAGCAGGCAGGGCUAAGGCUAGUCAGACAGGACCAGGCAGGACAAUCAGGAUUCAGGACAGAAGCGUCACCCAUUAGAUCGCAGUGAGGGAGGUUUAUGCAUAACUGUAUUACAUUUCAAAACGUUGCACCUACCGCAUCCACACGUGAAAAACUAUCUACCUACCAGUUUAUACCGAUCACUCCGAGAGUUAUGUGUUUGCAAUCGAUAGAUGGUGGUUGGUGACUUUGCGCACCAACGAUAAGUUGACGAAAAAUAUUUGUAUUGCCAUAAUCGUUAUUGAUACACAUUGACACGCCGAUCCACCCACAUCGAAACUGAUCCACCCACAUAUUCAUACACCUUCGCUCACCCACCCAUCCGAACAACCCAACAGACCCGAGCAGAGACACUAAACUUUAAAAUCUGAAUCAACUAAAUCAAGAAAUAUUGGAAGGUCCAUGUAAGAAUCUAGGUUUUACAAAAAUGAUGCAGAUUGUUGUAGUAGAGUAAAUGAUUAGAGGCAAGAUGAUUCUUAUAUAGACCGAGGCAACUAUGAUAGAGUUAGAAAAUGAUGGAAUCGAAGAAAUCUAAAACGAAAAAAUUAAUUGAAAAUUUAAUGAAAUCAAUGAAGAGAGAGCGAGCAAGCGAGAAUGCAUAUAGAACCGCCAGAGAGAUAAAUUGUUGCAGAGCAUUUCUAGAAUAUCUAGGUUAAACUUAAUUUCUAAGUUGUAAUGUUUUAAGAGUUAGAUAAUAAAAAGUGACCACAACCUUUUCCACCAUUUUUAAUUUACAAAGUUGAAAAAAGAAUAAAAGAAAGGAAAUUGUCAAGGUCUAGGUUAAUAAUCGUAAGUCAAGCACACAGGUAGGACACUGAAAUCAUACAGUCGACAGAGUUACGAAUGAAUUUUUUUCCUAUGCGGGAUCAUUGAAGCAUAGUUUAUUCGAUAAUCGAAGAUUAAUCAAAGACGAAACGUUAGUUGUGUCUGUCAAUCAAUAAAUCAUACAUUAUUUAUAAUAGAAAGGAUGUCUCUGUCGGUCUGCCUGUCUCUAUUAUACCCAUUAAUUGUGUAGAUAAUUAUUAUUAUUACAAAUGAUAACGGUAACCAUGAGUUAUUGAUCAGCGUUUGUAUUCCGACGCAGAAUUAAAUCAAUUUGUACAUAAUCUAAUCAAUGACAAAUAUUUUUAAUAGUGUUCACUCACCUACUUGAUCAAUUGACGGUGUAACUUGAGUUACAAAUUGAAAUAACAUUCACAUUAAAACAUAUAGAUCCACGCAAUCAUAACUUGAAUAUAAAUUCAUUUCACAGUACAUCAAAAUUGAAAACACUUUGUACGAUGCGGCGACAGUUUGUUCAAGGUAGAAUAACCAGGCACGUGAAAUCUGUAGUUUGAACCGAGAGAAGUGAUGUUUCGAUGUAGAGAUAGUCUCGACGUUUGUGUUGAAGCCAUAUGUUGUACGUACGUACGUACUCCUUGGUAACUAGGAUGGAAGAUUAGAAGCGAGCAAGAAAGGCGAAGAACAAAAAAUCGUACGAACAGGCAGGCAGGUAGCCUUGUGGAAAGCACAGGAAAGGAAGGGAAAGCAAGCCUGUAGCCUCAUCAACAAACAGACUAGACUUUGCUAAUAAAAAGCAAUAGCCAAUAUAAGCAUCUGCAGGUAGGACAUAUAGACACAUGUUUUUAUAUACUCGUAUUUCGUAUUAAUCGUUAAGACAAUGUAUGCAUGAAUUCAACUUGAAAUGAGGUCAAGAUACCGGUAGAGAAUACUUGUCAUAUUUAUUUUCAGUACUUAUUCAUUGUAACGAUCAAGUUUCGUUCAGUAGCGAUUUUUUUGUCGUAUCGGGAUCUCGCUAAUUGCUGAUUUAACUUUCGCUGUUUAUUUUCCGUAAAUAGAGUAAAUUCAGUAUGAUGGUAAAAUUCACCGUGGCCAAAAUACAGAUUUCUUUUUCAAUAUUUUUAAUGCAACCGGAGUAGCAAAUUUGCAUGGUCUCUUCUUCUACUUCUACUUCUUUUUUUUUUUUUUUUUUUUUUUUUUUUUUUUCAUCCUAAUAAUCGUGCAUUAAAUUCGUGUGUCAACUUUUGAACAUACUAAAACUGAUUUAUUAAUCGUUUGUUGGAACAAAUCGCAUAUCUAAUAAUUUCAAACCCGAUUUGUGCAGUAUUCUCGUAGACUCGGUAUAAAGUAAUUGUGUAAAUUUUGAAAGAUAUUGGAAAAAAAUUCAGUUCGCUUGCAAGUGUAGCAAUCGAUUCAAUUGGCCUACUGUUCUAAAUUCUGUCCACAUUUGUACUCUAAAUUCGUGUGUCUUUCUUUUCGAAGAAUUUCUUAUUAACAAAGUACAACGAUAACUGGUUGUUUCACUUUUCGUUGGGAAAUCAGUGUACUCGAUCGAACGAAGCUGUUUAUUUUUCCUUCGUACCUUCGGUAUUUUUCUAUAGUUCAGUUUCGCAGUUAUACGUCGAUAGAACGCUCUAUGAAAACCUUAGCAACAGUCUGCGAUGAGGGAAAAAAUAAUAUCACAUGAUUUUUCAACGAAACCUCUUUCUUCACUUUCUACAACGUCUUUCACCCCUCAGUCGAUCCGCAUUAUUAUAAUGACAAUAUCCUGCUGUGGAGAAUAGAGCUCAUCCAGUGACUGAAAAAACUCGAGAAUAUGAACGUUAGAUCAUCGGGGUCGUAAGACUGACUUUUGAAAUUUUCACGAUACUUCGAGAGAGCUAGAAUCUCACCGAGCAGCUGUUUACCUCUUCAUUCGUUCGCAGCAAAUCUACUCUAUGCAGUCAAAGUUCACACUCUUUUGCGAAUCUUCGUUUAUUUUUGCCAUAGAAAUAUCACCCGACCGAUUGCGAUGAAAAUUGAACGCUGGUUGAUCGAACGAACGAUACACCAAGAGGUUUGAAUCAAGGUAGAGAUAUUCCCCUAUUGAUCGUUAGCAUCUGAUCACGUAAUAUCGACACCUGCAGUUAAUGAACUAGAGCGAUUCCGGGCUCGCUACGGGGGUGGGGUGGCGAUAUCAUAUUCACAAACUCACCUGUGGUCUAUAUCAGUAAUUCAUAUCUCUCCGCUCGGGUGAGAUAGGAUGCCCAUGUCAACCGUUUACUUUAUUUUACUUUACCUGUAUUAAUUGCUGUCUUUCGUUUUCAUUAAUUUCUGGUUUGCCGUUUGCCGGCUGGCACGUUGAGAGUGAACGAUGUUGCAACCUGACCUGGGUUUCAGCCCUCGCUGGAGCUCAUCAAAGUUAUCGAAGAUAGAUCUUUAUUCAUCCCCCUCGAUGGAAACAACGAGUCGACGCAGCGACAAAAAGGUGUCGAGAAAAUUGAACCGCCGACUCGAAUGCUGACAACGACCGCGGAGCAUUGCAACAUGUUCCAAAAUGUUACCCUCCGAUUUACUUGCAAUAAAAUUGAUACCUUCGUCAUUCCUGUCCCCUGUAAUGUUGGAGACCAGAGUGCCCGCGAUGUAUGCGCUUCCUCAGUCCACCGGCUCUAGAUAGAUACGAGCAAUUCAAAUAUUUCAGGUGUCGCGAUUGGAAAACGUCAAAUGUUAUUUUGGGAGCCUCUCACCUUUGUGGGGGGGGGGGGGUGAUCUCAGGAACAUAACGAUGUAAUGAUCUUUUUUUCUAUAUCGAUAUGAUAUAUUGGUAUGGUCUUGUGAUUAAUAAAUUAUCUUUCAGCGUG
rnacentral:misc_RNA from 1 species